GAUGAACGCUGGCGGCGUGCCUAAUACAUGGAAGUCGAGCGAACAGACGAGGAGCUUGCUCCUCUGACGUUAGCGGCGGACGGGUGAGUAACACGUGGAUAACCUACCUAUAAGACUGGGAUAACUUCGGGAAACCGGAGCUAAUACCGGAUAAUAUAUUGAACCGCAUGGUUCAAUAGUGAAAGACGGUUUUGCUGUCACUUAUAGAUGGAUCCGCGCCGCAUUAGCUAGUUGGUAAGGUAACGGCUUACCAAGGCAACGAUGCGUAGCCGACCUGAGAGGGUGAUCGGCCACACUGGAACUGAGACACGGUCCAGACUCCUACGGGAGGCAGCAGUAGGGAAUCUUCCGCAAUGGGCGAAAGCUUGACGGAGCAACGCCGCGUGAGUGAUGAAGGUCUUCGGAUCGUAAAACUCUGUUAUUAGGGAAGAACAAAUGUGUAAGUAACUAUGCACGUCUUGACGGUACCUAAUCAGAAAGCCACGGCUAACUACGUG
rnacentral:rRNA from 1 species